CGUCCAUCAUUUAUUAAUAGAAAAUGAUAGGCACAAAUCUUAUCCCAAAUGGAGUUUCCCAAAUACUUCACUAAAACACACUGGUUUAGAUAAAACAAAACAAAUUGAUUAACUACAGAAAGACUUUCAGUGACUACAAGUAAUAAGGCAUAUGAGUCAGAAUUGGUUACAAAGAAAUAAAAGUAUAGACACUAUGCUUAUCUU